UCAAUACCCAGCACACACAUGGCAACUCAGUUGUCUGUUACUUCAGUUCCAAGAGAUCUGAUGAUAUCUUCACACUAAUGCACAUAAAGUUAAAUAAAUUAUAAAAAAAAAAAUUCAAUAAAUGCAUUGGCCGGAAGCAAUACAAUGCUAAUCUGUCAUUUUUCUAGCGUGUGAACAGUAACACUGGCGUCACAAAGCCUUGUUCUCUGAGGGUGGAUGGUUGGGGUCAGAUCCAGGUCCUUGCACGUGCUAGGCACAAACUCCACGAUUGAACUUACCUCUCCAGCUGUGAAAGUUUGUGCCAGAAUGUAAGCAUAUUUUGCACAGACUGUUGUAGUGUGAAGACAAAUCCAGGGCCGGGCGGUGGUGGCGCACGCCUUUAAUCCCAGCACUCGGGAGGCAGAGGCAAGAAGAUCUCUGUGAGUUCGACGAGGCCAGCCUGGUCUACAGAGUGAGUUCCAGGACAGACUCUAAAGCUACACAGAGAAACCCUGUCUCGAAAAACCAAAAAAAAAAAAAAAGACAGAUCCAGAGCCUAGGAAGGAUUCUGAGCACCUAGCCCAUCUUAUCCAGGCCUCUGAUGACCGACUCACUCUCAACAUCAUUACAGGCCAGCAACAGCUGCCUUCUGAAGGAUCUGUUUAAGUGAAAUAUAAUCCACCCACCACACAGUUCGCCCAUUUAAAGCCCAUUCAGUAGUCCAGGGUAUUUAUAGUUAUGUAAUCGUCACUAGGGUUAAUUUUAUCACUCCUAAAAAACCCCAGGCCCACUAGUAGCCACUUCUUAUUUAUUUCCUCCAGUUCCCCAAACCCCUGAUAACCACUCAUUUGUUUUUUUUCAUAGAAAUGAAACAUUGUAUGACUGGGUUGGCAUGAUGCUUUAAAGAUUCACCUUGUUCUAACAUGUGUCCUGUGUCAUUGUUCCUUUUUAUUGCUGAAUACUAUUCCAUUGUGUGGACAUACCACAUUUCACAUUGUGGAACAUUGGAGUUAUUCUAUUUCUUAUACUUCCAAACUUUGUUGUUUACCAGACUCACCUCCAGUAUUUCAAAAUUGAUGCCCAGGCUGAAUCCUCACUGCAGCUGGAAUCCAGUGGGAUGGAUGCCUUUAAACACAGCACUAAUGCCUAAACCCAUGCCUAGAGAUUUUGACUGAAUAAAGAAUUCAGCCUUGGACCUAACUCAGUGCCUGAUGCACAUUGGAGUUAGUAUCCUGUGUGCAGUGAUUUAGAAAGGCUGGUUGGAAUGCUUGAGUUGUGAAAAGUUCUUGUGUUUGAUCACAGCCUGUGUUUCAAGUCACCUGGAGAAUGUUUGAAAUGCAGUAAAUAUGGUCUGAGUUCCUUAAUACCCCAUGAAGAUUUGCAUGGUGACUUUGUUACCAACAGGCUUUCCCCAAAAGAACCAGUAGGAUUUUUCUGUGAGGUUUUCAGGAGCAUAGAUAACCUGCAAUAAGAUCAUUGAGGAAUGGCAUAUUAAAAAGCUGGGGGGGGGGGGGCGUAGAAAGAUGGCUGAGGAGUUAAGAGUGCUUGCUGCUCUUGAAGAGGAUCCGAAUUCAGUCCCCAGCACCCUUGACAGAUGGCUCACAACUACCUGUAACUCUAGCUCCGGAGGACCUGAGCCUCCCGCCCCCACCCCCGCACCUGCAUGAAUUAGCAUAUACCCCUACACAGACGCAUUUUAUUUGAAAAGGCAGUGAGAGUCUGGAGUGUGGUGGGUCAUUCCUGCAAUUCCAGCCUCGUAGGGAGGAUCGCUGGCCAUUGGAGGACAGUCUGGCCUGAAGUGUAGAACCCUGUCUCCAAACAGGAGGAGAAUGGAAUGCUCAUGCUGGCGUGGGUGUCGAGUGUGGAUCCCCCACACUUUUCAUUCCUGUGCUUUGUUUUCUUUCUCCAAAGAAAACUCAGAAUCUCCAAGCCGACUGUUAACACCUCCACUCUUUGAUUGUGCCUGACUGUUAUAGGCAACUUUAUAAUCCUGACCACAAUGAUCAGUACUUACGUGGCCGAGCCAUUUCUGAUUCACACAUCUGGAACUAGAGGCUGACUGUCCUUGUGGGUGCAUGAGGUGGGGUGGGACUACGGUUGUGCCCUCUGCAGCUGGCCAGUACACUCCUUGCACACUUCUGCCCGCACAGCUUCUCUCUCUCUCUCUUUUUUUUUUUUUUUAAGAUUUAUUUAUUUAUUAUGUAUACAGUGUUCUGCCUACAUGUAUGACUGCAGGCCAGGAGGGUAUCAGAGCUCAUUACGGAUGGUUGUGAGCCACCAUGUGGUUGCUGGGAAUUGAACUCAGGACCUCUGGAAGAGCAGCCAGUGCUCUUAACCAUCUCUCCAGCCCCAUCUCACAGCUUCUCUUGCUCAGUGCUGCCCGGCAGAGCUGGUUGAGCCCCACCCCAGCCUUCUCAUGGCUACUUGUUGGGGUAUAGUUAGUCACCUGUUAGGAAGCUGGUAAAAGUUUUUGACUCCUGUUGCUUUAAAUUUUUUGAAAAGUGGUAUCUUAUUUUACUUUUAUAUUUGUUCUUAAAAGACUUGACAUUUGGAGUGGGUUAGUACCUCCCGGAUUUGUUGAGAGGAAGGACAUGAAUGUUGGGACUGUGUUGACUGUGUGUCUUAAGUGACUGACCCACUGAAAAGGGUAGUUGGAAUUUUCCUUUGUCAAGUCUGACGGUCUUUCUGCCGUUUUAGGGGGAAUGUGUAGUACUGCACAUGGAGGCAGAAGCUAACCUCUGCCCAGCCCAAGGCGUUGAACCAGAGGGGAAGUGGUUGUGGUUGGCGCCUGCUGGGAGCAGAGCCUUGCCGAGCUGUGACUGCCCCGUGGAAUUACUCUGCUGCUGUGGUUCUUAUGGGUGACCAGGAAUUUGGACUCGGUUGGUUUGCUGUACUGGAGCCAGGGAUUCCUUUGUUUUGUUUUUUCUUGAGACAGGAUCUCACACUGUAGCCCACGCUGGCCUUAAAUCCACUAUGAUCCUCCUACUUGAGCUCUCCAUGCUGGGUUUACACCACCUUGUGAGCUCACCUUGCCUGGCAAGCCAGGGAAUCUUCUUGUUUCUGUGAAUAGAGAAUGUUGGAGAAUCAUGAAAUUUUGUUGUUAAACCAUUAAAGUCUUGGUAAUGAAAAUCACCCAGAAUAAACAGACCGUUUUGUAUCUGCAGUAGGAAAAACUGCCGAGUUUUGAAGGUUUUAUUUUUGCUGUUGGCAGUUCUCAAUGAAACAAUGAAUAUACAUUCAAAGACAGCCUUAAAGGUCAGCUUUACUUUGUGCUGCUGGCUGGGGGGCCCUGCACCAACUCUUAUGUUCCUAGUGGUUCCCAGGCUGAUAGCAGGCCUUCUCUAGGGACAGUCUCACAUGUCACUAGAAAGUCUCUACCUGGUUUGAAGCAGUUGGUUCUGACUAAUUCAGGGGCCACUCCCUGGAAUGUGGGGGGAGGCGACUAGGCACCUUAACACUCUUCUCAUUGACCUUCACAAGUACAGCCCUCUGUCUCCAGAGAUGUGGGUCAAAAUGGUUUCCUUCUGUCCCAGCCUGCAGGAAGUCCAGAGCUCAAGGUCUGUGUCUUGUGUGAUUCAGUUGUUCCAAGUCCAUGUGAUAAGGCCGUGGCUGUAAAGUGUCAGUGUGCACCGCAAAAGACAAUAAUGGAGAGAGGGGACACCUGUAUCUCUGUCACUAACUCAGCCUCUCCCUGUGAAGAUAGCCAAUCUCAGGUGUCCUGAGGUGUCUCCGGGCAUGUAGUUCUAGAACCUGGGGGUACUAAAUUCCUCAGAUGUUCAGGUCCUCCUUGUAAAAUAUGCACGCUCUAUACACAUCCUUUCUUAUUCUGUAAGUUAUCUGUAACUCCCUGACACUGUCUAAUGAAAUGUAAAUGCCCGUAAAGAGUUAAGUUGUUAGGGGACAAUAAAGUAUGCACAGUACAGACAGGUUAAAGAAUUCUCUCAGUUGAGGGUUGCUUGAAUCUGCAGUGUGAAAGUCCUGGUUAUGGAGGGCCAGCUACCCUGCAGCACUGGCAAUUUCCGGGAUGGGGGAGAUGAAACUCUUGUUUGUUGAAAUCCUGCUAGUACCAGGCUCUAGAUGAGUUCUGGUACUUGCCCUUAACAAAAAUCUACAUAGAAGCUGGCAAGAUGGCUCAGUGGGAAAGGAAAGCAUUUGCAGUGUGAGCCAGACAUCAUGAGUUCAGUCUCUGGAACCCAUGUAAAGGACAUGUCAAAGCUGUCCUUGACCUCCACACACGAUGAUGCACACACACAUGUCUACAGACACACGUCAUAUGACAGUAAUGAUAAGUCUAUGUAGAUAUCCCGUUACAUGUGACAGAAGCUGUUUGGAGUGGUUAAGCUCUUUCCAGGAUCACACUGACGCAUGUGACAGACAGGGAAUUUGCAUGACCCCAAUCCCUGCUUUCUGGCUCCUGGUUCACUGCCUCACUCCUUUUUCAUUUUGUCCUUCCCUAAAGGAGAAAGUAUUUUCUUCUGUUAGCGGCCAGAGAAUGAAGGACUCUUCACAGAGUACUGGAGAGUUCUGCGGAAGGGGCAGUGUGUGCACCUGUGCCCGGCUUCUCCGUGGAGAGCAGAGCCAUGGGACAGCAGCUACAGAAGGCCCCACCCUCUGCCCCCGGUACUUAGAAGACUCCUGGCUGCGGAACACUGAUGGGCAUUUACUGUCUCGUUUGUAGGGAAGCCCACCAUCUCCUCAGAGAGUGAACUGCUUGUGCCUUUUUCUCAAGGAAAGGAGGCAGAGGAAGAGAGACCAGAGGUGGCUCUAGAGAGCAGGCACGUUAUCCUGAUUCGAGAAGAGUGACUGGCCCGCUUCCUCUCCUACCGAGGACAGUGUCCCCUGGUUGGUUUGGACACUGACACGGGAGUCUACAGCUGCAAGGAGGCGGCCCUGAAAAUAGGACUUAACAUUAUUGUUUAGUGUAUAAGGAGAGUUAGGGGCUGGAGAGAUGGCUCAGCGGUUAGGAACACUGACUGUUCUUCCAGAGGUCCUGAGUUCAAUUCCCAGCAACCACAUGGUGGCUCACAACCAUCUGUAAUGAGAUCUGGUGCCUGCACAUCUUCUGGCCUGCAGGGAUACAUGCUGUAUACAUAGUAAAUAAAUAAAUCUUUUUAAAAAAAAAAAAAAAAGGAGAGAGAGAGUUAGAGACCAUGCCAUAUUUGUUUUUCCUCAUGUUCUUUUCACCUGAAGAAGUCUGAUACAGAGUGAGGUCAGAGCGAGGAAAGCUGUGAAUGGCUGACUAGGUUUCGAUAGCAAGUUAAUGGCAAGGCCAUGGUAAUGGCGAGGCCAAGGCAACAGCUCAGUGCUUUAGAAAAAGCUAGUCUGUACCAAGUGAGUUCCAGGAAAGGCGCAAAGCUACACAGAGAAACCCUGUCUCGAAAAACCAAAAAAAAAAAAAGAAAAGAAA